GGGGGCGUUUUGGCUUCGACGGGGGUAAGAUGGGUUUGAUAAGCGAGCCGGGGGAAGCAUGGUCCCACGAGAUCAACUAUGCAAUAAAGAUAAACGCAGAAGACAAUUUUGCAUUAGCAGCUUAAUAUAGUUGCUCAUCAGCCCAGGGUGCCCACGCCUUGGAUCACUGGUGUCAUUGAGUGGGAAACGAAGUUUAGCAAAGCUUUGAGCUAGAGGGGUAUUUAUGAAGCUACUGAAACAGGAAGUCUGUCUGUAGACGUCUUGUGGAGGGAAUCCUAAAUUACAGAAUGCGCUCGGAGAAAGUCAAGCUGGUCUGCUUUCGGACAGGGGUUCGAUACCCCUCGCCUCCACCA
rfam:Clostridium intestinale TRNW genomic scaffold scaffold1, whole genome shotgun sequence.